CUACGGGGGCUGCAGUGGGGAAUAUUGGACAAUGGGCGAAAGCCUGAUCCAGCCAUGCCGCGUGUGUGAAGAAGGCCUUCGGGUUGUAAAGCACUUUCAGUGGGGAAGAAAGCCUUGGGGCUAAUACCCUCGAGGAAGGACAUCACCCACAGAAGAAGCACCGGCUAACUCCGUGCCAGCAGCCGCGGUAAUACGGAGGGUGCGAGCGUUAAUCGGAAUUACUGGGCGUAAAGCGCGCGUAGGCGGUCUGAUAAGCCGGUUGUGAAAGCCCCGGGCUCAACCUGGGAACGGCAUCCGGAACUGUCAGGCUAGAGUGCAGGAGAGGAAGGUAGAAUUCCCGGUGUAGCAGUGAAAUGCGUAGAGAUCGGGAGGAAUACCAGUGGCGAAGGCGGCCUUCUGGACUGACACUGACGCUGAGGUGCGAAAGCGUGGGUAGCAAACAGGAUUAGAUACCCUUGUAGUC
rnacentral:rRNA from 1 species